rnacentral:rRNA from 1 species
AGACGGAGUAAGGAACGGAAGAGCUCAAAAAUGGGCGGAAACCGGGAUACAAACACGGAAACGAAAACGACUCAAAACUCAAUACUUUAUCCAAUUUUUCAUAAGUAUAUAUCCAUAAUCGUAGUAAUAAAUAGGUUGCCAUUAACGAAUUUACGAAACGAGGAAGACAGCAUGCGAUGCUUCUUCAACGGCAUAUAACAAUGAGAAUCCUUGUAUUCCUAUCAUUACUAAGAUGAAUAUUCAAACAUUACUAGUGCAACGCAACGACGUUUAUGAAAAAAAAUUUUAUAAAUAGGAUGAAAGCAUUUCCAACGCAAUAAACCCAGCUGGUGAGUAGGAUGCCGGAGAUUUCGCCACUCCUAAUUGGGAGAGGAGCGCUAAGGUUACAGUUGCGUUCAGCACUCACUACACGACACCUACUCUGUGACAACCCGGAGUUGGGCUGGUUCCCUCCGACGUUUCCUCCAGGAAAGGCUGGAGUUCAUAGCUGUUAUAUCCGGUAAAGGGAAUGAUUAGAGGACUCGGGGUCGAAACGAUCUCAACCUAUUCUCAAACUUUUAAUGGGUAUGUUGUCUCAGUUUCUUCAUUGAACUGUUGACACGAGCGCGAGCUCCAAGUGUGCCAUUUUUGGAAAGCAGAACUGGCGCUGUGGGAUGAACAAACGUUGGGUUAAGGUGCCUAACUUUUCGCUCAUGAGACCCCAUAAAAGGCGUUAGUUGAUAUAGACAGCAGGACGGUGGCCAUGGAAGUCGGUACCCGCUAUGGAGUGUGUAACAACUCACCUGCCGAAUCAACUAGCCCUGAAAAUGGAUGGCGUUUGAGCGAGAGACCUAUACCCAACCGUUGCUGGCUUGUGCGUUGUCUAGCGCCUGGCCGCAACGAGUAGGAGGGUCGUGGCGGUUGCGUCGAAGGCUUUGGGCGUAGGCCCAGCUGGGGCUUCCGUCAGUUCAGAUCUCGGUGGUAGCAGCAAAUAUUUAAGUUCGAUCCUUGAAGACUGAAGUGGAGAAGUGUUCCACGUGAACAGUAAUUGAAUGUGGGUCAGUUGAUCCUAAGAUACUGGCUUAUGCCUUGUAUCACCGAGAGGGAAAAGUCUCUUUUCUCUCGGAUAUCAAAAGGGAAUAGGGUUAAUAUUCCCUAACGCAGACACAGAGAUUGUGGCUCUUUGAGGUACUUGCGCGGUAACGCAUUCGAACUUGGUUACGUCGCUCAGAGACCGAGCUAGAGUUCUCUUCUCUAGUUAAGGAACGGACUCCCUGGAAUCGGCUCAGCCGUAGAUAGGGACGUUGUUUUCUGUAAAGCAUAGCGGUUUCUGUGAUGUCUCGUGUUUUCUGGACGGCCCUUGAAAAACCAAGGAAGGCUAUUAAUCUGUGCUGCAUCGUUCCGAUAUCCGCAUCAGGUCUCCAAGGUAAACAGCCUUUAGUCGAUAGAAUAAUGUAGGUAAGGGAAGUCGGCAAAUUAGAUCCGUUACUUCGGGAAAAGGAUUGGCUUCAGUGACCGGGUCGGUUGGCCUGUUAACUGAUGCUUGUGCGGUUUCGGCUGGCAGACGCUCACGCUGAUGCUGGACUAGUGACAAGGCUGCCUUGUGGACGUUUUCAGGUGCCUUGUCUUCGGGCUUAGUAUCCUGACCGCCCAUCAAAACGGUCGAACUGGAACUGGUACGGACUCGGGGAAUCCGACUGUCUAAACAGAGGAGACAGAUGGUCCUUGCGGACGUUUGCUGUCUCUGAUUUCUGCCCAGUGCUCUGAAUGUUAAACCGUAAUAAUUCGAGUAAGCGCGGGUAAACGGCGGGAGUAACUAUGACUCUCUUAAGGUAGCCAAAUGCCUCGUCAGCUAACUACUGACGCGCAUGAAUGGAUUAACGAGAUUCCACUGAUUCCCACUUGUGAGUUCGCAUAGGUCCAUAGUAUUGUUUGGUAGUAGCUGAAGCUCUGCAACGAACUCAAAGGUGUGGAGGCAAGACACCGCAUACCUUCCUACGACAAGUUGUUCCAGGCGAAGAUUAAUAGGAAAAAAUAAGCAUGCUGCAUGCGGUUAAAAAAUUUGAUUCUUGGUUCGAACACGCAUAAAACCUUCGUGGCGUUAUACUAUUUAGUAGUAGGGGACGGUCAGGAAGCACCGCAUAGUUAAUCUCUUUCUUCAGCCUUUCAUUCAAGUUCAAAAAGUGAAUUAGGGCAGUUCCAAGCGUCACCAUUUCCGUUCCGUUCCGUCUUCUGGCCGAAAAGAGAGCGGAAAACGGAACGAAACGGAAGGACUGAAAACGGUCGAAAACCGGAAUUCGGAACACGGAAAUGGAAAGUCCGCACAUCCCUGAUUACAAUGUUAGGUACACGGCAAACAGCUCUGCUUGGAGAUCGGUUACAAAUUAAACACAAAGAGUGUGUAAACAUGGUAAAGGGACACUAUAUUUCGAUUAAUGUGUUUUAUAGAUGACAGUGUUGUUUUAUCCCCUGUUGCUACCUGUUGUUGCCCGUUGUCGUUGAUGAUAGGGCAAAAGUUGAUAGGAGGCCGCUGCCGGCCGCUCUGGUAUUCAUUUGCUUCGUUCUCUCGUUCCAUUAAACCGAUUUCAUACCCGCUGUCACCGCAGCAGCACAACUUGGAGGCCGAACGGAUCGCCUAGGAAGGACCUUCGCGCUGGGAAGCCGAAAGCGAUCGGCUAUUGAGGUAAGUUUCAGCACUGGGAAGUUGCGUUGCCCUCAGCUUGCAGAUCAGUGAAAGCAGCUCUUGU